CUGGAUGGGGGGUACCUGAGAGGGGCUGUGAUGUCCGCAUCCACCCUGGGGCUGCAGCCAUUUGUCCUUCAAAACGGAGUCUCCUGAGACAAGACACAGUCUGAAAACCACUGCUUUGUACGAUGUGGAGACACGUGGGGUGGGACACAGCAUACUCUCAACACCGUCAAUGAAGACUCUGCCUUAUGUUUUGAACGAAGCUGGUGGUCCUGAAUGGAAAGGAAAAAGCCUGGUCCUAACGUCUUGUUCUCGGUGGUAAGAAAGCAUGGCCUUAUCUUCAUGCAGCAGGGCUUGUUAUUAACAACUUCCUAUGGAAGGAUCCCACACUCCCUGUAGAGAUGACCAGCUU